UACGAGUGAGACAACAGUAAGGACAGCAAGAAUCGCUAGCUGUGAACGAUGUAGUAUACCUUAAGCCAAGCUGCAUCGGUGCCGCACGCUUUGUAUAUCAAGCCUUCGUCAGCGUUCGGGCAGAUUUGACCACCGCAGCUUUGGCAGAGAGAGCAAUCAAUGGCGUCGAAGACGUGGUCACUCUAUUCUACGUGGAUUCUCUUAGCGGUUAUCGUCGCCAUAAUCACUGUUGGUGCAGAAGGGUCAAAGUUACGUAUUCGGUCAUUAUGGCCGAAAUGUAAACAGGGAGAACACUCAGGAUGUGUGAAACCUCCCGGUAAUCCGUGCGGGGAGGACACCUGCAACGUGAAAAAACGCGGUAAUCUUUGCUCUCAAAGCUGUCUAAUGGACUGCGUGUGUAACAAAGGCCUGUAUCGUCGCUUGUCUGACAGGAAGUGUGUUCCCCAAAGUGAAUGCAAUGCCUAAUCUCACCGACAAUGGCGUCAUGUAGAUACGGCGCUGUAGUAAACGACCGCAGCUGCGUAUUCCAAAUUUUUCCCGAUGCCACAUAAUUCCAGAGCCACGAUCUUGAAGAAGUCACGUCGAAGGGACAGUUUGGCUCUGAUCUGAGCGUUCUAAAAUACGGGCAAAAAAUAAACUAAUAAAACAUUCUCUUCAUUA